rnacentral:snoRNA from 1 species
GCAAAGAUGACGUAAAGUUUCUGGUUCGGUAUUUAUAAGAAAAUGGAGUUCACAUUCACACAGCUAGCACUUUGCAAAAGUAGUUUUCCCUUGAAAUAGCUUUGAUGGCAUGCUGUUAUUCAUGACAUAUCAUUAUUAAAAGUGGCUACAAAU